CUAACCCCGCCCUCUCCCAGUAGAGGAGGUGGGGCUCUCUCUAACCCCGCCCUCCCCCAGGACCCAGGGCUCUCUCUAACCCCGCCCUCUCCCAGACUAGGAGGUGGGACUCUCUCUAACCCCGCCCUCCCCCAGAAGAGGAGGUGGGGCUCUCUAUAACCCCGCCCUCCCACAGGACAGGGCUCUCUCUCACCCUGCCCUCCCCCAGGACACAGGGCUCUCUCUAACCCCGCCCUCUCCCAGUAGAGGAGGAGGGGCUCUCUAACCCCGCCCUCCCCCAGGACGCAGGGCUCUCUCUAACCCCGCCCUCUCCCAGUGGAGGAGGUGGGGCUCUCUCUAACCCCGCCUUCCCCCAGGACACAGGGCUCUCUCUAACCCCACCCACUCCCAGUAGAGGAGGUGGGGCUCUCUCUAACCCCGCCCUCUCCCAGUAGAGGAGGCGGAGCUCUCGCUAA